GCUACAAUAUUACAACUGCGAUAAUAUAAUUGUCAUCAUAAUGGGGCUUGAUAGUUCAAAUAGUAAAAAUGUUUCAUUUCCCCUACUUUGAACUCUCAACCCUCAAAACUCUCUCAAUUUCUCUCGAGCAAACCUCUUUUCAAUGAUACUAUAAGGUUCAGAAGCACGAGAUCUCAAGUACCCUUAUCAGUCCAGACUUAGUCAGCAGUAGUAGACG